rnacentral:rRNA from 1 species
AUACGUAGGGGGCGAGCGUUGUCCGGAAUGAUUGGGCGUAAAGGGCGCGUAGGCGGCCCGGUAAGUCUGGAGUGAAAGUCCUGCUUUUAAGGUGGGAAUUGCUUUGGAUACUGUCGGGCUUGAGUGCAGGAGAGGUAAGUGGAAUUCCCAGUGUAGCGGUGAAAUGCGUAGAGAUUGGGAGGAACACCAGUGGCGAAGGCGACUUACUGGACUGUAACUGACGCUGAGGCGCGAAAGUGUGGGGAGCAAACAGGAUUAGAUACCCUGGUAGUCCACACUGUAAACGAUGAAUGCUAGGUGUAGGGGGUAUCGACCCCUUCUGUGCCGCAGUAAACACAAUAAGCAUUCCGCCUGGGGAGUACGGCCGCAAGGUUGAAACUCAAAUGAAUUGGCGGGU